rnacentral:lncRNA from 1 species
AUGCGGUCCAGGUGGAUCUUGGCCUCGUACUUGUCGAUCUCCCGGUCCAGCUCGCGCAGCCGCUGGAUCUGCUGGCGGAUGGUGUGGUCCUGCGAGAGCACCAGGUGCACCAGCGUCUCCAUCCUCUCCGCCGCCGAGGCUUCCCGGGCCAACGGCUGCUGCCGCUUCUUGUUGAUCUUGGCCAGCUUGCGGAAGGCUUUCCGCACUGCCCGCCGCUGCCGCUCCUGCGUGAGCGCCAGGCUGCCGCGGGCCGCCCCCAAGCCGUGGCCGGGGCGCUCCUUGCUGAGCACCACCCGCGCCUCGGCGCUGCGCGGCCCCGCGUUGGGCAGCGAGGCCUCGCUGCGCACCAGCACGAAGCGCACGUUCUCCUGCUCGUCCCCCCACGCCACCCAGAGCCGCAGGAUCUUCGUCUUGUUGGGCAGGAUCCGCUCGAAGCCGCGCCACUUCUCCACGAUGCAGUACGAGUGCGGCGGCCCCGACAGCAUUCCGCCGCCGGGCUCGGGCGGCGCCGGUCGCUGCCGCCGGUGGUGGCUGUCCUCCAGCAGCACCCGCACCACGUCCGAGCAGGUGGUCCGCCGGGAGAGCCCGGAGAUCAGCUUCUCCUCCUGGCAGAUCCACACCGAGAUCUUCCGCUCCUCGGGCUCCAUCGGGAGCGGCCGCGAGCGGCCGGCCGGGGCCGCGGGCUCAGCGGGGCCGGCCGGGCUGCCGCUCGACGCGGUCGCUCCGGGGAGCUGCGGCGCCGGCCGGCCUCGGCAUGGCCACCUCUCUCGCCGCCCGCCCGGCUCCGCCGCUGCCCUCCCGCCUCCCCGCCGAGCGCUCUGCCGCCCGCUCCACCCCUUCCUGCCCCGCGCCGCCGGGAGGGGCCGGCGCGGAGCGAAGCGGAGUCCGGCGCGGAGCCCGCCCGGCCGCCGCCGCCCGCGCUCUGGCGGGGCCCAGCGCCGCCGCCGCCGGGUUUUCCUCUGCCCCCGCGUGGGCGCCCCCCGCGGCUCCCGCCCCGGCGGCGGCCGCCGGCCCGCGGGCAGCACCGCCCCGUCGCUCCGCGCCGCGAUCCGCCGGCUGCUGGGAGCUGGGAGGCGCGGCGCCGCCGCACGCUCCGCUCCGCUCCGCUCCCCCCUGCCCUGCCUCUUGCAAACGAGCGGCGUCGAGGGAUCUUCCGAAGUGCCGAGGGACAGAGCGAGUCCCGCGGCUUCAAAGCUACAGGCAGAACCGGCGAGGAAUUUCCAGUUUUAG